CCCCUCCCCUCCCUUGCUCAAUCUCCGAUUUUCGCGCUGCCUAUCCAUGCGACGGCGGUAGAAGACCACCCGAAUUUCAUUCUAGUCUCGUGCUAUCUCGCGUUCGCCUCGUUGGGUUGAGAGGAGCUGCGAUCCGUCGUUUAUUUGCUUCUGUUGUGUUAGGGCUGGUGCUUCCGAGAUUUAGGGAUGGUCGGGUUGCGAAUUGGUAUUUGCCCAUUCGAAUUGCUGGCUUUUUCCGCGUGAUGUGGGUGGGCGCUGUGAUCGCGCGUUCCUCGCGCGACGCACAGGGAAGACUAAUGGAGUAGGUUGUUGGGUGGAUGUCAGGAUACCCUGAUAUGCCUGUUAGGAACAGACUUAGAUUACUGCAGCAGCUGACUCUGGGCAGCACAGAAAUACAAGGAUUGACGCAUUGAGCAUCUGAACAGGCUAAAAAUUCACAUGACAAGGCUGGGAAGCUUAUUGCAAACCUGAUUGUCAUGGGCUCUACAAUUAUAGGAAGAGCUAUGCUUCAGGCAUACCGUAAAGCACUUGACAGUAAGUUCUGCUGCCACGAACUUCUUCAUGGCCCACAUAUAGAGUCUCUACACCUCCCUGUUCCUUUUGUACAUAGGGGAUAGAUGGCAUAUAAUUUUGUGUUUUGCUGCAUGAGUCAUGAUGAGUCAGGUUUCAUAAAAAUGAAUUGUAGGGAAAGAUAUUGUCAUAACUUACUGCAAUUCUUUUUAGUUUCUAUUCUUGUCUAAUCGUCUUGGUGCAAUCCAGAUAAUAUAAGUCUCUGUUUAUCUUAGCUUGCAGACAUUUUUAAUAAUGGUUGUUCAUCAAUAGGUCUCUGACUCUCAUAAAUUUUUCAUAUCUUAAUUUGUAAGAUGCCUAAUUUCUACUGAUAUGCCAAAGAUGCUUAUGCUUCAGCAUCUAUCCUCGAGUAACCUAAGUCUAUCAAAUACACUUUAACUGUCAACACUUAUGCUCGAAGUCAGGCUGUGCCUGGUGCCCCAGAUAUAUCGAUACGGUGGGGCUUGCCGUGACAUCGAACUUAUGGAUUGAUUUCACUUAUGGUCUACGGUAAGCAAUUUGAAGUAUAUCUAUUCAAAGAAAAAAGGAUUGAAAUGAGAGCUUUGUUUUCUCGACCGAAAGAAGCCCUUAAAAUGAAGUACACCAUAUCCUCUGAAUUCUGAUUUACGGAGAUAGAUGAGGUCAGCCAACAUAUCUGCUUUACAAUUUUAAUGUUCACAUACCCUUCUUAGAAGCAAAGGGAGUACUGCUUAAAAACAACCCUUUGAUUUCUCUAGGUUUCGAGUGUGAACAUAAAUAAUUGAGAACCUGAAUUUAGGAAACCGUGCAUUUCCUCGUUGUUCCUUAAGUUCAUUGGCUUAGAAAUAUGCAGACAAUUUGUUCAUUAAAUAAGGUGAUUUCUAAGAAAAGAGGUAUGGAAGAUAAAUUUAUCAGUAUUUAUUAUUAUUAUUAUCUGGCUUUUGGUGCUUCAUGUAGUGAUAAGGGGGUGUAUCAGGUGUAAAACUAUCCUUAGGCGCAAACAGGUGAAGUAUUUUAUGACUGCUGCCUCCUACACAUGAAUUGCCAGAUUUCAUCCAUCUACUACUCAUCCAAUGGACCACAGAAUUUACAAUGUUUUACUUUCAUGUACACCUUGUGCAUCUUCUAGAUGAAGACUUAACAUAAGGUAGCUGGUGGCUUUGUGCUCAUUUAUUGUCUAGAUUGACUCAUGGAGAUGAUAACACCAUAGGAAGUUGCCUUUCAGUAUCAUCUUAGCAUAAUACCAAUGAUUUCCUCCCACAGCGAGCCUUUAUUGAAUGGAUGUUAGUAUGUUACCUUCCAAACGAAUUGUUUGCUAUUCAUUUAAUUAUUCCAGAAAAGAGCAAACUUUAAUUCCUAUACGCACCUCCUUAUUUUGUUUCCUCCUACAUUCUGCCAGAUGCAAAUAAAAUUGGUGUGGCCCAUGAAGCAAUGAAUAAUAUUCGGAGAGCCAGCAAAACAAUGACCGAGCAAGAAGCGAGGCAGAUACUGGGUGUAUUUGAGCAGUCGACGUGGGAAGAGAUUGUACAGCGGUACGAUAACUUAUUCGAG